CUGGUUGAUCCUGCCAGUAGUCAUAUGCUUGUCUCAAAGAUUAAGCCAUGCAUGUCUAAGUAUAAGCAAUUAUACCGUGAAACUGCGAAUGGCUCAUUAAAUCAGUUAUCGUUUAUUUGAUAGUACCUUACUACUUGGAUAACCGUGGUAAUUCUAGAGCUAAUACAUGCUAAAAACCCCAACUUCGGGAGGGGUGUAUUUAUUAGAUAAAAAACCAAUGCCCUUCGGGGCUCCUUGGUGAUUCAUGAUAACUUCUCAGAUCGCAUGGCUUUACGCCGGCGACGGUUCAUUCAAAUUUCUGCCCUAUCAACUUUCGAUGGUAAGGUAGUGGCUUACCAUGGUUUCAACGGGUAACGGGGAAUUAGGGUUCGAUUCCGGAGAGGGAGCCUGAGAAACGGCUACCACAUCCAAGGAAGGCAGCAGGCGCGCAAAUUACCCAAUUCCGAUACGGAGAGGUAGUGACAAUAAAUACUGAUACAGGGCUCUUUUGGGUCUUGUAAUUGGAAUGAGUACAAUUUAAACCUCUUAACGAGGAACAAUUGGAGGGCAAGUCUGG
rnacentral:rRNA from 1 species